AGAGUUUGAUCAUGGCUCAGAUUGAACGCUGGCGGCAGGCCUAACACAUGCAAGUCGAACGGUAACAGGAAGCAGCUUGCUGCUUUGCUGACGAGUGGCGGACGGGUGAGUAAUGUCUGGGAAACUGCCUGAUGGAGGGGGAUAACUACUGGAAACGGUAGCUAAUACCGCAUAACGUCGCAAGACCAAAGAGGGGGACCUUCGGGCCUCUUGCCAUCGGAUGUGCCCAGAUGGGAUUAGCUAGUAGGUGGGGUAACGGCUCACCUAGGCGACGAUCCCUAGCUGGUCUGAGAGGAUGACCAGCCACACUGGAACUGAGACACGGUCCAGACUCCUACGGGAGGCAGCAGUGGGGAAUAUUGCACAAUGGGCGCAAGCCUGAUGCAGCCAUGCCGCGUGUAUGAAGAAGGCCUUCGGGUUGUAAAGUACUUUCAGCGGGGAGGAAGGGAGUAAAGUUAAUACCUUUGCUCAUUGACGUUACCCGCAGAAGAAGCACCGGCUAACUCCGUGCCAGCAGCCGCGGUAAUACGGAGGGUGCAAGCGUUAAUCGGAAUUACUGGGCGUAAAGCGCACGCAGGCGGUUUGUUAAGUCAGAUGUGAAAUCCCCGGGCUCAACCUGGGAACUGCAUCUGAUACUGGCAAGCUUGAGUCUCGUAGAGGGGGGUAGAAUUCCAGGUGUAGCGGUGAAAUGCGUAGAGAUCUGGAGGAAUACCGGUGGCGAAGGCGGCCCCCUGGACGAAGACUGACGCUCAGGUGCGAAAGCGUGGGGAGCAAACAGGAUUAAGAUACCCUGGUAGUCCACGCCGUAAACGAUGUCGACUUGGAGGUUGUGCCCUUGAGGCGUGGCUUCCGGAGCUAACGCGUUAAGUCGACCGCCUGGGGAGUACGGCCGCAAGGUUAAAACUCAAAUGAAUUGACGGGGGCCCGCACAAGCGGUGGAGCAUGUGGUUUAAUUCGAUGCAACGCGAAGAACCUUACCUGGUCUUGACAUCCACGGAAGUUUUCAGAGAUGAGAAUGUGCCUUCGGGAACCGUGAGACAGGUGCUGCAUGGCUGUCGUCAGCUCGUGUUGUGAAAUGUUGGUUAAGUCCCGCAACGAGCGCAACCCUUAUCCUUUGUUGCCAGCGGUCCGGCCGGGAACUCAAAGGAGACUGCCAGUGAUAAACUGGAGGAAGGUGGGGAUGACGUCAAGUCAUCAUGGCCUUACGACCAGGGCUACACACCGUGCUACAAUGGCGCAUACAAAGAGAAGCGACCUCGCGAGAGCAAGCGGACCUCAUAAAGUGCGUCGUAGUCCGGAUUGGAGUCUGCAACUCGACUCCAUGAAGUCGGAAUCGCUAGUAAUCGUGGAUCAGAAUGCCACGGUGAAUACGUUCCCCGGGCCUUGUAACACACCGCCCGUCACACCAUGGGAGUGGGUUGCAAAAGAAGUAGGUAGCUUAACCUUCGGGAGGGCGCUUACCACUUUGUGAUUCAUGACUGGGGUGAAGUCGUAACAAGGUAACCGUAGGGGAACCUGCGGUUGGAUCACCU
rnacentral:rRNA from 1 species